rnacentral:pre_miRNA from 1 species
GAUAUCAACUGAAAAAGUCAUCAACAACAAAGUUGAAUAACUCAUCAAGAUCUAAAACUUUUAUUUUGGUCAUUUCUUCAUACGACAAAGUGAUAGUAACAUUGUUCACAAAAUUGACAUAUCUCUUAUCUGGUUUUUUAUAAACUAUAACACAUAUAUGUAAAAUUUGUGAAUAAUAUUACUAACAUUUCGUCAGAUGAAGAAAUAACAAAAAUAAAAGUUUUAGAUCUUGAUGAGUUAUUCAACUUUGUUGUUGAUGACUUUUUCAAUUGAAAUC